CUAACAAUCAACAGAGUUUGGUUUGUACAAAACCAACUGCUACACAUAACAACCCGAUAUACAGCACCGUGCGAGAGCAACAGCUGCCGCUGCUUCUUCUGUUGCCCUGCUUGCUUACUUUCUCUGUAAAUUAUACAAUUCCAAUUACUCCUCAGCUUCUUAUUCUUCUAAAAAUAAACUUAAAAAUGGACUAAUUGAAGCUAUCGGAAACACGAAUCAAUAGCCUUCCUCAAGCCACUGGAUGUCAGUUGAGUUUUUAAAUCCUGGUGGAAGUGUCGAAGACAGGGUUGCUGUCAAAAUCAUCCAGGAGGAUCAACUGUUGCAAGACUAAUAGCAAAGCUCCCAGCACUUCCUCUGUAACUAUCCCACCUUUAGCUAGAAGACCAAGUUGUAGAGCCUAUACAGCGAAAAAGGUUGAUGGAACGUGAUGAGGAGCGUUAGAAAAAAUUCAAAGAAGAUCAGAGGAAACGUUUACGAGAUAUUGAAGAACAGGUAUUGUGUAUUAAUAUAUACAAAAGUUUAACUUUAACAAAUGUAGUUGCUUGCUACUUUUGAAUCAUGAUCUCUGAACUUUCUUGAAUUUACUGAAGAGUGUCCCUGAGAUGACAUAUUUGGAAAUUUUGGCUGGGAAACGCGGGAUUAAGUUGCAAGCUGGUUUGUAUUUGUCAAUAUUUAUUUAGCUUUCUUUUAAAAGUUGAAUUUGUGAAUAGAAACUGAUUUUUUGGUCAGUAUUUGUCCCACCUGUUAAAUGUCAAGAUUUUUUGGUUUGUAUUUGUCAAGAUAUUCUGAUUUGGGGUUUUUCUUCUGAAUUUGAAUGCUUUUCUUCAACUUUGACCAUGUCUUCUCACUUUCUAAGUUGUAAGAAGGAUAAAGAUUGUGAAAACUAUAUAUAUAUUUUCUAAGAGCUAGAAAGCAUGUUCUAUAUCUCAUUAAGCUAAUAUGAUAGUUGAUAACAAAGUGAACGCAUAGCAAAAUAUGCCUUCGAGUAUGCUUACCUCAACAACAGAAGGAUGGUGACAGCAGUGCACAAAGCAAACAUCAUGAAGCUUGCAGAUGGUCUUUUCUUAGAAUCCUGCCGAGAGGUUGCAAGCAAGUAUCCAGCCGUAGAGGAAGUAUUUUUCUCCCGAAGCCAGCUUAUUCACUGGCCAGUCCAAAAUAUAUCGAAGCGUGGAUUCAGUUUGUAAAAGCACAGUUAACUAUGAAUCAAUGGAAAGCAUGUACACACCAGAAUAUUUGAAUUAUGUAAGAAUUCCAGGAGUACCCAAUCAUCAACUUGAGCUUAAAAUUGGAGCUCCAAUUGUUCUGUUAAGGAAUCUGGCUCCUAACAAGGGAUUGUGCAACGGAACACGGUUGAUUGUUACUCAAUUAUGUUCCCGAGUUAUAGAAGCUGUCAUAGUCACCGACAAUCAUAUUGGUGAGAAGGCUUUCAUCCCACGUAUUUGUAUGAGGCCGUCAGACACAACACUGCCUUUUACACUCAAAAGAGUUCAAUUUCCCGUAUCCCUCUGUUAUGCAAUGACGAUAAACAAAAGCCAAGGACAAACGCUAAAAUAUGUUGGCUUAUAUUUGCCAAGACUGGUUUUCAGUCAUGGAUAGUUUUGUGUGGCGAUGUCGAGAGUAACAACACCAUUGGGGUUGCAUAGUGUAAGAAUGAAACCCACCCAAUUGUUGGCAUGACAAAAAAUGUCGUUUAUCAUGAGGUUUUUGCCAACUUGUGAUGAUAAAAACAAAUUAACUUGGUUCUUUUGGGGAUUGGCUAGAUUUAUUAUUCCGUCUUGGUAAUAUUAUCUACUUAUGGAAUUUCAUAUUAGGACUACUACAUAUAGCAGAUUAUUAUAUAGAUCAGUUGGAUUGUUUUAGAUCAGUAGUUGAAAAUGACUUCAAGAUAGCCUAUGAUUUCUACUAUACAUACAGUCUUUGUUUCUCUUUUUUUCUUUCUUCAUUGUUUUGAAGUGCUUGGCGUUGGUUUGUAUUGUUAUUUCAUCUGGUCUAGCUAUUCUUAUGUCCUUUUUAAGUGUGAGCACAAGUCUGAAAUAGUAAAGAAGUUACAGGAGAAGAAGCAUAUUUGUGGUAUGACUGCAGAUUGUGUCAAUGACCACCCUUUUCUGAAGAAGGCUGGUAUAGAAAUACCAGUUGCUGAUGGACCAGAUGCAGCACAAUAGGAAUUUCACUACAAACAAUCUGACUGGACUGAUACCCGUGGAGUUCAUUUAUCUAAGAAUGAUGUCAGUUGAUGGGGAAACACACAGGAUUAUGAAAGGUGUUCAUGCGACUAUCUUCUGAAGCCUAUCAGAAUGAAAGAACUUAAGAAUAUCUGGCUACAUGUUUUCCGAAAGAAGAUUAAUGAGGUGAGAGAUAUUGAAGCUCUUGAAUCAGGCAUUGAGGAAUUCCAAAUGAUGAGAAAUGGAAUAUCAGACUAGUCUGAUGAUGGAUUUUCAUUUUGUGGAAGUGAUCUGAAUUCAGGAAGGAAAAGAAAAGAUUUUGAUAACAAGCACAAUGAUAAAAACUUUGGUCAUCCUUCUGCUGGGAAGAGAACUAGAGUAGUUUGGACUGUCGAUCCUCAUCAGAAGUUUGUCAAGGCCGUGAACUACAUGGGGUUUGACAAAGUUGGCCCCAAGAAAAUACUCGAGUUGAUGAAUGUGCCCUGGUUAACACGAGAAAACGUUGCUAGCCACUUGCAGAAGUACCAGUUAUAUUUGAGCCGAUUACAAAAAGAGAAUGAUCUUAAACCAUCUCAUGGUGGCAUAAAGCAGUCUACUGAUGCAACUUCAAGAGACCAAGCUGGAAACCUUGGCUUUAAGAAUUCAAUCAACAUCACACAUAACAAUGCUGCAAAUACCAACUUCCUUAUUUAUAGCAAAAUGUGUAUGCUCUAAUAGAUUUUAACAUCUUCUGAAAUCUAACUUGUGCUAGAGGUUUUUGAUGACAACGGAUAGUACAGAUGCCACAUUAUGUUUGCAUAAUUUGUUUUAUAAUUGCAUAGAUAUAGUAAUGCAGCCACGAAAUUUGUAUCUGUAUACAUGCUUAUGACCUUAUAGGAGGCUUGAGCUGAUGACCGGAUACAAUUUCACUAAAAAAAAUUUAUUGUCUCCACUUGAUUAA